UACGUAGGGUGCGAGCGUUAAUCGGAAUUACUGGGCGUAAAGUGUGCGCAGGCGGCGCCGCAAGUCGAGUGUGAAAGCCCCGGUCUUAACUUGGGAAUUGCGCUCGAAACUAUGGUGCUGGAGUGUGGCAGAGGAAGGUGGAAUUCCACGUGUAGCGGUGAAAUGCGUAGAGAUGUGGAGGAACACCGAUGGCGAAGGCAGCCUUCUGGGCCAACACUGACGCUCAUGCACGAAAGCGUGGGGAGCAAACAGG
rnacentral:rRNA from 1 species